AUACGGAGGGUGCAAGCGUUACUCGGAAUCACUGGGCGUAAAGCGCGCGCAGGCGGCUAUUUAAGUUGGAUGUGAAAGCCUACGGCUCAACCGUAGAACUGCAUCCAAAACUAUUUAGCUAGAGUGUGGGAGAGGAAGAUGGAAUUAGUUGUGUAGGGGUAAAAUCCGUAGAGAUAACUAGGAAUACCAAAAGCGAAGGCGAUCUUCUGGAACAGUACUGACGCUGAGGCGCGAAAGCGUGGGGAGCAAACAGGAUUAGAAACCCCGGUAGUCC
rnacentral:rRNA from 1 species